AGCACUCUCCAACGGGUCACAUGAAGUGCACGUGACUCAUUAGAUCAUGGUCUUCCGCAGUUGUAGCUGCAGAAUCUACAUCCACAAAUAAUUUGUUGAGGAGAGUUCGUUGUUACUCAGCUUUAAUCCUUUUGAUUUCGUAUAAGCUUACACUGAACCCGGCCUGAUUAGUGAUUUGUAAACUUGUUUUAAUCGACGCAUCUUUGUCGGCGAAACAUUUAUAUAACGUUUUGGCAGUGGCUGAAUUAAAGAAACAUUUAAAAUACGAUUCUGAGAAGAAGACUAUUUCCUAAAUCCUUAUUGUGAGCUAUAUCUUGCGAAGACUCUAUCCUACCCGGCCCAAGGUUAUCAGAUUUCAGUGAACAGAAGUAGAAGAUCAUAACGACUUAUUCAAGAAACUACUUCCUAACUUUAGUCAAUCCUGUGAAGACUCUAUACUACCAGCUAUAUUAUCAGAUUUCAGUGAACGGAAGUAAAGGGUCAUAACGACUUAUUCAAGAAACUACUUCCUAACUUUUGUCAAUCCUGUGAAGACUCUAUACUACCAGCUAUAUUAUCAGAUUUCGGUGAACAGAAGUAGAAGAUCAUAACGACUUAUUCAAGAAACUACUUCCUAACUUUAGUCAAUCCUGUGAAGACUCUAUACUACCAGCUAUAUUAUCAGAUUUCAGUGAACAGAAGUAGAAGAUCAUAACGACUUAUUCAAGAAACUACUUCCUAACUUUUGUCAAUCCUGUGAAGACUCUAUACUACCAGCUAUAUUAUCAGGUUUGUGAAUAUUUUACAGUGUUCAGAUAACUCAAUCUUCCCUCAGUAUUCGUUCUUAAUUAGUUGUUUAAUUGGUUGAUUAAUUU